GCCUUGGCUGCAUGGUGUGCGGUUGUGAGCUAGGCCUGUGGCCUAUCCAGGCAUGGCUGACCAUCUAAAGGGAUGUGGACAGCUCAGGGGCAGGUGGGGGCCUGCACUCCAGGGCUCUGCUGUCGGCCGCCUGGGGGCAGCAGAGAGCAACGGAUGCCUGGCCUCUGAGUGAGAGGUGGGGUGCCCUCAGGCCUCUGAGUGAGGGGUGGGGUGUCCCCACCCUGACCCCAUGGGUGCCUGGAUGGUUCCAGGCAGCAGGGCAGGCCUGUGAGCCUCUGAAGGACUCAGAGAGCUGGGGGGGUCUAGUGGACGAAUGCAGAGCCCUGGGCCCACGAUGGGGGCAUCUCUGCUUUGACCUGACCCCCUUGGCGCAGAGGAGCCGGACAGUGCUACCCAGUGUCCAGUGGAUGCUACGGGCCCAGGGGGGCCUCUGGGGAACCUGGAUGUCACUCCACCCGUGCUGUUAAGCUCCCCGGCGUUUCCUCAGGACUACGGGAUGAGCGUUUUCCACGGAAGUGACACCGAAGAUGACUUUCACGGCUGCACCCAAUUGCACUGUUUCCACGGAAGUGACACCGAAGAUGACUUUCACGGCUGCACCCAAUUGCACUGUCACUGUGCUGGUUUGUGUCACCCCUUGCUGCUAUACCCUGCCUUCUCCGGUGUCUGGAUGGAGCGGGUUUCCCGGGGACUGGGUUUCCUGGAGACCAGGUAAAUCGUGCCCAGGGGCAGGCAGCCAGGGGAGAGGAGCAGAUGGCACACUGAUGACGCAGCCGCCACCAGGAGCUGGUCCAUGGAGGGGAUACAGCAACACCCGACGCUUUCACCCGGUUGAUCUGAUGAACACAGCCGAAGACUUCCGGCAGCACAGGCCUGGGUUCUCAUAUUUGCCCUGGAUUCCAGUUCUUUGCAGACCUUCAGACACAAUUGAAUGCCUCUGUGAGGGAGGAGGGAGCUGGACUUGUCACUGCGUGUCCGAUCUUCCCAGACUCAGAUGAAGGAAGGCGGGACUAGUCCUGGGCCAGACCUCAGCCUCCCCAUCUCUUUCGCAUCUCACCACCUUAGAAAAGAGAGAAGGACUUCCCUGGUGGUCCAGUGGUUAGGGCUCCAAGCUUCCACUGCAGGGGUCAUGGCUGUGACCCCUGGUCAGGGAAUUAACUAACUUGAUAAAUAAAAGAAAAUACAAAGAGAA
ensembl:lncRNA